UACGUAGGGGGCAAGCGUUGUCCGGAUUUAUUGGGCGUAAAGAGCGUGUAGGCGGUUAGGUAGGUCCGUUGUGAAAACUCGAGGCUCAACCUCGAGACGCCGAUGGAAACCAUCUAACUAGAGUCCGGAAGAGGAGAGUGGAAUUCCUGGUGUAGCGGUGAAAUGCGCAGAUAUCAGGAAGAACACCAACGGCGAAGGCAGCUCGCUAGGACGGUACUGACGCUGAGACGCGAAAGCGUGGGGAGCGAACAGG
rnacentral:rRNA from 1 species